GACGGGAGGAUGCAAGUGUUAUCCGGAAUCACUGGGCGUAAAGCGUCUGUAGGUGGUUUAAAAAGUCUGCUGUUAAAAAUUGAAGCUUAACUUCAAAGGUGCCGUAGAAACUUUUAAACUUGAGGAUGGUAGGGGUAGAGGGAAUUUCCAGUGGAGCGGUGAAAUGCGUAGAUCUUGGAAAGACCACCAAUGGCGAAGGCACUCUACUGGGCCAUGACUGACACUGAGAGACGAAAGCUAGGGGAGCAAAUGGG
rnacentral:rRNA from 1 species